GAUGAACGCUGGCGGCGUGCCUAAUACAUGCAAGUCGAGCGAACAGACGAGGAGCUUGCUCCUCUGACGUUAGCGGCGGACGGGUGAGUAACACGUGGAUAACCUACCUAUAAGACUGGGAUAACUUCGGGAAACCGGAGCUAAUACCGGAUAAUAUAUUGAACCGCAUGGUUCAAUAGUGAAAGACGGUUUUGCUGUCACUUAUAGAUGGAUCCGCGCCGCAUUAGCUAGUUGGUAAGGUAACGGCUUACCAAGGCAACGAUGCGUAGCCGACCUGAGAGGGGGGUCGGCCACACUGGAACUGAGACACGGUCCAGACUCCUAAGGGAGGGAGCAGUAGGGAAUCUUCCGCAAUAGGCGAAAGCCUGACGGAGCAACGGCGCGUGAGUGGUGGAGGUCUUCGGAUCGUAAAACCCUGUUUAUAGGGGAGAACAAAUGUGUAAGUUAAUGAGCACGGCUUGACGGUACCUAAUCAGAAAGCCACGGCUAACUACGUG
rnacentral:rRNA from 1 species